AACGAACGCUGGCGGCAUGCCUAACACAUGCAAGUCGAACGAGACCUUCGGGUCUAGUGGCGCACGGGUGCGUAACGCGUGGGAACCUGCCCUUAGGUUCGGAAUAACUCCCCGAAAGGGGUGCUAAUACCGGAUAAUGUCUUCGGACCAAAGAUUUAUCGCCUUUGGAUGGGCCCGCGUUGGAUUAGCUAGUUGGUAGGGUAAAAGCCUACCAAGGCGACGAUCCAUUGCUGGUCUGAGAGGAUGAUCAGCCACACUGGGACUGAGACACGGCCCAGACUCCUACGGGAGGCAGCAGUGGGGAAUAUUGGACAAUGGGCGAAAGCCUGAUCCAGCAAUGCCGCGUGAGUGAUGAAGGCCUUAGGGUUGUAAAGCUCUUUUACCCGGGAUGAUAAUGACAGUACCGGGAGAAUAAGCUCCGGCUAACUCCGUG
rnacentral:rRNA from 1 species